CGUAGAGAUCUGGAGGAAUACCGAUGGCGAAGGCAGCCUUCUGGCAUCAUAUUGACACUGAGGUUCGAAAGCGUGGGUAGCAAACAGGAUUAGAUACCCUGGUAGUCCACGCCGUAAACGAUGUCUACUAGUCGUUGGGUCCCUUGAGGACUUAGUGACGCAGCUAACGCAAUAAGUAGACCGCCUGGGGAGUACGGCCGCAAGGUUAAAACUCAAAUGAAUUGACGGGGGCCCGCACAAGCGGUGGAGCAUGUGGUUUAAUUCGAUGCAACGCGAAGAACCUUACCUGGUCUUGACAUAUCUAGAAUCCUGCAGAGAUGCGGGAGUGCCUUCGGGAAUUAGAAUACAGGUGCUGCAUGGCUGUCGUCAGCUCGUGUCGUGAGAUGUUGGGUUAAGUCCCGCAACGAGCGCAACCCUUGUCCUUAGUUACCAGCGGGUUAAGCCGGGAACUCUAAGGAUACUGCCAGUGACAAACUGGAGGAAGGCGGGGACGACGUCAAGUCAUCAUGGCCCUUACGACCAGGGCUACACACGUGCUACAAUGGUAGGUACAGAGGGCAGCUACACAGCGAUGUGAUGCGAAUCUUUUAAAGCCUAUCGUAGUCCAGAUUGGAGUCUGCAACUCGACUCCAUGAAGUAGGAAUCGCUAGUAAUCGCGGAUCAGAAUGCCGCGGUGAAUACGUUCCCGGGCCUUGUACACACCGCCCGUCACACCAUGGGAGUUGAUUGCACCAGAAGUGGUUAGCCUAACUUAGUGAGGGCGAUCACCACGGUGUGGUUGAUGACUGGGGUGAAGUCGUAACAAGGUAGCCGUA
rnacentral:rRNA from 1 species